rnacentral:lncRNA from 1 species
CAAAUAUUAUAUUGCUAUACAAUAAAAGGGUUAUUGCAUGAAUAUUGGGGAAUAUUGUCCCUCGUAGAACAUAUAUUGCACUCGCAAGCUCGUGCAAUAUAAAAUUCUACUCGGGACAAUAUUCCCCAAUAUUUAUGCAAUAACCCUAUAUCAUUCUACCUUACAUAUAUUUCAAACAAUUCUAUUGGGUGAAACGUAAUCACGUGACAUGGAAUAAUUCAGUUAAUGUUCAUUCAAUUGCAAGGAAGGACGAAUAACCCUAAAAAUUUACACCAACGGUGAAUAACCUUUUGAGUUUUUUAUUUGUACUUGAGUUACCUCCCAUGAAAAUGACGUCACAGACGUAAAUAAACAAAAUGGCAGCGUUCCCGUUACACUAGAAGACCCUAUCGAGAGACGAGGAAAUAUAGCAUUGGACAUUAAUAGAGCUGAGAGUGCCAGCAGCCGAUGAUAUCUCUUAUAAACGGUCCUUUUCAGGGCCAUCAAUAUUUUACAAAAAGAUUCUUUUUUUGUUGUAAAUUCGAGAAAAACGAACACAAAUGUAUUUUCAAACGUCAGUCUAUGUGUUAUGUUAAAACAUAUAGACUAAAGUAAGUGUUCGAAAUUCCCUUCCACUGUUAGUUCGGUAUAAUAAACAAUUGUGGCCCUCUACUCUGGAAUCGAUGAAUAUCCAAAAUUGUCAACCCUCAAAAGUUAUUUCACUUCGGGCUGC